GAUGAACGCUGACGGCGUGCCUAAUACAUGCAAGUCGAGCGAACGGACGAGAAGCUUGCUUCUCUGAUGUUAGCGGCGGACGGGUGAGUAACACGUGGAUAACCUACCUAUAAGACUGGGAUAACUUCGGGAAACCGGAGCUAAUACCGGAUAAUAUUUUGAACCGCAUGGUUCAAAAGUGAAAGACGGUCUUGCUGUCACUUAUAGAUGGAUCCGCGCUGCAUUAGCUAGUUGGUAAGGUAACGGCUUACCAAGGCAACGAUGCAUAGCCGACCUGAGAGGGUGAUCGGCCACACUGGUACUGAGACACGGUCCAGACUCCUACGGGAGGCAGCAGUAGGGAAUCUUCCGCAAUGGGCGAAAGCCUGACGGAGCAACGCCGCGUGAGUGAUGAAGGUCUUCGGAUCGUAAAACUCUGUUAUUAGGGAAGAACAUAUGUGUAAGUAACUGUGCACAUCUUGACGGUACCUAAUCAGAAAGCCACGGCUAACUACGUG
rnacentral:rRNA from 1 species